AGAGUUUGAUCCUGGCUCAGGAUGAACGCUGGCGGCGUGCUUAACACAUGCAAGUCGAACGAAGCGCGCGGAAGGAAGGCCUUCGGGCCGGAGAGCCGCGGGACUGAGUGGCGGACGGGUGAGUAACGCGUGGGCAACCUGCCCCGUACAGGGGGAUAACAGCCGGAAACGGCUGCUAAUACCGCAUAAGCGCACAGCGCCGCAUGGCGCGGUGUGAAAAGCUCCGGCGGUACGGGAGGGGCCCGCGUCUGAUUAGGCAGUUGGCGGGGCAGCGGCCCACCAAACCGACGAUCAGUAGCCGGCCUGAGAGGGCGGCCGGCCACAUUGGGACUGAGACACGGCCCAAACUCCUGCGGGAGGCAGCGGUGGGGAAUAUUGCACAAUGGGGGAAACCCUGAUGCAGCGACGCCGCGUGAGCGAAGAAGUAUUUCGGUAUGUGACGCUCUAUCAGCAGGGAAUAAAAAAAUGACGGUACCUGAGUAACAAGCACCGGCUAAAUACGUGCCAGCAGCCGCGGUAAUACGUAUGGUGCAAACGUUAUCCGGAUUUACUGGGUGUAGAGGGAGCGUAGGCGGCGCGUUAAGUCUGAUGUGAAAACCCGAGGCUCAACCACGGGAGUGCAUUGGAAACUGGCGUGCUGGAGUGCCGGAGAGGUAAGCGGAAUUCCUAGUGUAGCGGUGAAAUGCGUAGAUAUUAGGAGGAACACCAGUGGCGAAGGCGGCUUACUGGACGGCAACUGACGCUGAGGCUCGAAAGCGU
rnacentral:rRNA from 1 species